AAACUCCUGUAGCAAGGAAAGAGGGAAACCCGAGUCAUCUGCAGUUUCCUGACUGUUCAUACAUCCCAAGACUAACCUCAGCUGAGAAGACUGGCUCCCAGGAUAUACAGACGCUGAAAGGGGGAUCCCUCACUGCAUCCUGCAAGUAAGGAGCUGGGGUCACAGAGCGCCCUGCACUCUCGCUGACAUCCCUCCCAGCAGUUGGGAGCAUGCCUGCUGGAUGAGGAAGCCUAGAACAAGGUUUGUCCUCCUAGCUCAGUGGUCCAGCCCGCCAGUCAGUAUUCCUGAUUUGCAGGAAGCCUGGGAUUGCCCAAUGUGAUGGAUGGUCUGGGACAAAUCACAACGUUCAGUUUGGGUGUCCUACCCCCAUACUUCUGGGCCUUUCUCUGCAGCAAGGAGAUACUGUACUGUGUAUCAAAGACAAACAGAAGUGAUUUUUCGAUUACCUGCUAUUUUGGAUUGCCACACCACUGUUACCCCCAAAUCCAAAACGGACAACAGACUCAUUCAUUGUGUUUCUUUCAUUUUUCUACUGAGAAAACUGUUUUGGGUGUUCAUCGAGAGCUCAUGCCCUGAUUUGGACGAGUAGAAGGUGCCAGUGUGUUCUUCAUUCACAAGGGCGUUUAUAAUUUGUAAUUCUCGCACCGUGAUACUGAGUUGAGCUCAGCAAACCAGCCUCAGCUUGAAAUCCAUUGGCCUUCACCACAGCAGUGGAAACAGGAGCCGCUCGGAAACGUGCUCGCACCCCACAGGGCCCAUCAGCACACCCCCGGCUGGAAACAGGUCAUGGGGGCUGCCACACCCCAGGAGUGGGGUUCUCCCUGGAGGUCGCCCGCGGCCCAGCGCUCACCAGCUCCUUCUGGCUCUGGAUCACGGCCAGCGCGGCCUCAGAGUGAUUAAAAUGUUGACGGGGACAGAGCCAAGAAGAGACCUGUGGUACUCCAGCCCCGAGGGACCUACAGACACCGACACCAAUUAAAUAAUCGACACUCCAGCCUAUCUGUUCAGUGGGCUACAGGACCACUAAGGAUGGCGAACAGAAGGACCGCGAUGGCCCCCAGCAGGAGACGUGUGGUGGUGUCUGAGGAGAGAAAGAAGCGGUUCAGUACCCGGCCACCCACACCCCACUGCCAAGCCCCACCGGGAACUCUGGCCUGGGCCCAGCAGUCUGAGUUUUCACAAGCCCUCCGCGGGAAUCUGCUGCUCACUGAAGUCCCAGAGCCGCUGUUCUGGAGCCCAGACAGGUACUUGACUAAGCAAGGGCUGUACAGUCCUUGGCCCUCAGACCCGGCAGACCCGUCAUCCCAUCACGGGUGUUUCUCAGUGUCAGUCGACUGGGCUCAUUUCCGUGGACUUCAGUUUGGAGUGGGGAGCCGACUCAAGCAACACCCUGGAGAGACCAGUCCUGGUCCCUGAGCUCCCCUCUUCUGACAGGAGAUGGGGGUGCCAAGGGAACACCCAGCAGACCCUCAGAGCACCAGUGGAGGAGAACACCCUGGACUCGGACCCCAGAUACUAAAACUACUGUAGAAAAAGCGCAUGGGCCUCAGAUGCUGAGCCUCCGAGGACCACAGGCAUCAAGGGUGAGCUGCUUCUGGGUAGACCAUACGGCAAACCAGAGGAGGCAUGAGACCCAGACCCAGACCUGAAGUUCCUGAGUGAGAGGCCACCAGGCCUCAUUCACCACAAGGCUGAAUGCCCUGGGUACCAGCUCCGAGAGUGACAAGGCAACUAUGUUUAGCAUUUCCUGAUGGAACCAGAAUCCGCAGUCAAGAAAAGCUGGUCCUGGCCAAAAGAUGGACUUUUGGAUGAGAAUGAUGUCUUCAAUAAUAAUCCUGCCAAAAACCACUGCCUCAUGCAUUAGCCUUCUCCCUAGAGGGUAAUAGGAACCAGGAAGUGACAAAAAACUCAACUUGUACAGGCUGGGGAAAAAAACCAAAUCUGAUUUUGUGUUUUGUUCCUACAAGGACAGAAAUAAACACUUUAUUACAAAAUGAAUACAUAGGAUGUUUUCAUGCAAACAAUGUAUACAUUUUAAAAAUAACUUUUCUUUAGACUUUGGUAUACAGUAUAUGCUCCUAAGCAUUUCUUAAUAUAUGUAAAAUAAAUACUUAUAAUUUUUUUUUACAAAAGUAGAGUUAAUACAUUCUGCAACUUGCUUCUUCUGUCAUUUCUUAUAGCUCUAUUGCGUUCCUUUUUAACACUAACAUAGAAUUCCACAGUAUGGAGGUAUCAAAAUUAUUAUUACUUCAUUAUUUGCCUGUUGGUGGACAUUGAAAUUGUUUCUUUUUUUUUUAAGAUGUUAUGUAUUUAUUCAUGAGAGACAGAGAGAGAGAGAGAGAGGCAGAGGGAGAAGCAGGCUCCUUGGGAGCCCGAUG